UUGAGCUCACAGGAUGGAGACGUCUCAUCCCCCUCCAAUCAAUGAAAAGUCUCGUUCCCUUUUGUAACUCUAGCAACAUUUUGCUCGAACAUGAAGUGAACUUUGCAUGCAAAUGUUCAUCGGAAUAUUUCGAUGCAUCCCUAUCAUGGAUCAAAUUGGCAAAUCGAGUAUUUGGCUGCUGGUGCCUACAAGAGACGGAUGCAUGCAGUACGCGACACAAGCACCAUAUGCCCAUCUCCAAUAGCAUGCAACGAAAUGAUCAGCAACCUAUGUUGCAUAGAGAAUCAAAUGCUUGAAUGAACAUU
rnacentral:lncRNA from 1 species